UGCUGUUAAAAAGCUCGUAGUUGGAUCAAGAGUCGGACAGUGCACGGUGGCCCUGUUUGUCAUAGUGGUUCCGAUCACUGUGGCGGCAGCGGAUCAACCCCGUGCGCCAAACUGUCCGCUCUAACAGAUCGAAGCGGUUCCCUGUGAGUAGGCUCCUUAAUUGGGGCUGAAAGCGCUUACGCAUCAACCAUAUGCAUACGGGACGUCGGUCAAUGUUACUGUGAACAAACCAGCGUGUCCAAAACAGGCUUUCGCCUGAAUGUUCGAGCAUGGAAUAACAAGGGAUCGAUUCUCUCGGUUCUUUUUGUUGGUUUUUAACCCGAGAAGGAGUAAUUCAGGCCACGGUGUCUGAGUUGGGUUUCCCUUCACCUCGGUGGAGGCCCCAAUUAGGCCGUGUCCUUACGGGAUAAAUAGGGACUGACGGGGUCGUACGUACUUCCACGUCAGAGGUGAAAUUCUUAGAUCGUGGGAAGACGAACUUCUGCGAAAGCAUUCGACAAGAAUGUCUUCAUUAAUCAAGAACGAGAGUGUGGGGAUCGAAGAUGAUCAGAUACCGUCGUAGUCCACUACUGUAAACAAUGCCGUCUCAGGAUUGAGAAGCGAACAGAAUGACUUUCACAGCACUAACCCCUGAAACGAGAAAUCAAAGAUUAUGGGUUCAGGGGGGAGUACAUUCGCAAGGCUGA
rnacentral:rRNA from 1 species